rnacentral:tRNA from 1 species
GGAGAGAUGGCAGAGUGGUCGAUUGCGGCGGUCUUGAAAACCGUUGAGGUGCAAGCCUCCGGGGGUUCGAAUCCCUCUCUCUCCGCCA